UGAGUGAACUUAUCAGCAGGC
ensembl:piRNA 21ur-3246 ncRNA